GACGAACGCUGGCGGCGUGCCUAAUACAUGCAAGUCGAGCGGAAUGAUGAAGAAGCUUGCUUCUUCUGAUUUUAGCGGCGGACGGGUGAGUAACACGUGGGCAACCUACCUUGUAGAUUGGGAUAACUCCGGGAAACCGGGGCUAAUACCGAAUAAUCCAUUUUGCUUCAUGGCGAGAUGUUAAAAGGCGGCUUCGGCUGUCACUACGAGAUGGGCCCGCGGCGCAUUAGCUAGUUGGUAGGGUAAUGGCCUACCAAGGCGACGAUGCGUAGCCGACCUGAGAGGGUGAUCGGCCACACUGGGACUGAGACACGGCCCAGACUCCUACGGGAGGCAGCAGUAGGGAAUCUUCCACAAUGGACGAAAGUCUGAUGGAGCAACGCCGCGUGGGUGAAGAAGGUUUUCGGAUCGUAAAACUCUGUUGUAAGGGAAGAACACGUACGAGAGUAACUGCUCGUACCUUGACGGUACCUUAUUAGAAAGCCACGGCUAACUACGUG
rnacentral:rRNA from 1 species